AGUCGAGGGGUAUGGUUCUUCGGAACCAGAGACCGGCGCACGGGUGCGUAACGCGUAUGCAAUCUACCUUUUACAGAGGGAUAGCCCAGAGAAAUUUGGAUUAAUACCUCAUAGUAUAUCACAACCGCAUGGUUGAGUUAUUAAAGUCACAACGGUAAAAGAUGAGCAUGCGUCCCAUUAGCUAGUUGGUAAGGUAACGGCUUACCAAGGCUACGAUGGGUAGGGGUCCUGAGAGGGAGAUCCCCCACACUGGUACUGAGACACGGACCAGACUCCUACGGGAGGCAGCAGUGAGGAAUAUUGGACAAUGGGCGCAAGCCUGAUCCAGCCAUGCCGCGUGCAGGAUGACGGUCCUAUGGAUUGUAAACUGCUUUUAUACGAGAAGAAACACUACUUCGUGAAGUAGCUUGACGGUAUCGUAAGAAUAAGGAUCGGCU
rnacentral:rRNA from 1 species